UUAAAUUAGCUCUUGAAACAAGAACUGGGCAUUUGUGUGUUCAUUGAAAGACUAUUUUACUAGCAGAAAAGCAUUUAUUUCUGCACGAUACUUGGUUCAAGAACGUACAGUCUUUGAAUAAGCACCCGUUUAAAAAGAAUGUUUUCAAGGCACGAAUUUUUGCUAACGAAUCUUAAUUCAAAUAUCGGACGGUAUUGGCGUAAGUAUCGACAGCAACUUGUCAAAUGAAUUGCGCACGCGCUCGCAGUGUCAGCGUCAUUUGUGUCAAAAGUGAUUGUGAAAUUGUAUCCAGUGAAAAGUUUUCAUGGAAAAUUUUCAGUUUGUUGAAGAAGAGGAUUUCUUGGUCCACUUGUUAGAUGUAUGGGAUGUGCCUUUCAAUUUUCAACAAAAAUUUAAGGACCUCGGUAUCACAACAAAAGACUUGGAAGAGCAUCUCGGAAGGGACGACCUUCCGUACAUUUUUAAGGAUGACUGGCGCGAGAAAAUAAAGUUCCAAAGGAACCUAGAUGACUUUAGAAAGGAAGGACAGAAGCUGCAGAAUAGUACAGAUUGCACUUGUUGCAAAAAACAAAACUUUCUGAAAACAACAGGCAAUAUCGAUGAGGUCUGCCGCGAGGUCGACGCCUUCUCACAAUGGCUUGCAUAGCUUUUUUGGGGAAUCUUUUGUAUUACACAUUUAAAACAAAUAAAAACUAUGUAAAGAAAUAGAUACUUAAUGAUGAAAUCUUGGAAUUUGAGUAAAAAUUAAUAACCAUUUUAAAUCUAUGUAAAACAUAAAUGAUAAUUACAUUAUAUCACAGAUCAAUAACAGUAAUUUCUAAGUAAAAUACGAUAAAAAUGUAUGGAGAAGUCAUGAAUUCCUAUAAAGUUUUUAGAGAAGAUAAAAAUAAAAAUAGAACAUAUUUAACAGAUAAAUUAAAAAAACAGAUAAACAGGAUGAAUAACUUAAUAAAAUCUUAGUUUUUUUCUCAAAAUAAAUCAAUCAUUUAUAUGUGCUAUUAUAAUAAUAAAACAAAAAUAAAUAACCACAGAUUUACUAUGCCAAUGUGACUGUUAAAAACACACCUAUGAAAAUAUAGAGAAAAUGAAUUUUUUUAAACAAAUCUUUGGCAAAGAUUAAUAUAAAAGUAGAACAUACAAAAUAAAUAUAUAAGAUAAAUGUUUACUAAAACUUUAGAGUUGUCAAAAUAAAACAGAACAAUUUAACAAAUCAGAAUUGGAAAAAUAAACAAAAAUAUAUUAUACUACAAAUCUAUCAAACAUUUAAAAAAAGAAGAAUUCAUAUGAAAAAAUAGUGAAUUUCUUAGUGUUCUUUUGUCAAAUUUUUAUUUUUUAAUUAAAUCUAUUAAAAAUUUAGUAAAUGGGUAAAUCUUGUAACUAACCUUAUAAUUAAAAAAAAAAUUGUGCUAAAUAACCGUGAAUAUCACUUGAAUAUCUUCCAUAGUUUUAAGGCAAAACAUAACAGUACAAAUAUUAUAUAGUACAAAAAUGAAAUUAAAAAAAUAUAGCUUUAUUAAAUAAUUUAUAAUCCACUAGUAUUUCAGAAAAGAAUAUUUCAUGGAAAAGUAGUGAUAUAUUUAAACUGACAAUAUAUGUAAUCUGUGAUGCUUAAAGAAAUAAUUUAAUAAAAAAUGAUAAACGAGAAAAA